GAACCUCGGUUUUACAUAGUUUUAGAUGGCCUUAUAGCACUAUGAGGGUUCUCAAUAGAAGAUAUGCAGGCCAACUUUGAACAUUAGAAAUACAUGGGGAGCAUUUGGUUCUUUGGGUCAUUUAAAUAGUGUGUGUGUAUAUAUUGUAACUACUGUAUGCAUAAUGGAAGUAUUUCCUCUAAAUGUAACUAAUGAGACUGCCUACUGGUACAA